rnacentral:ribozyme from 1 species
UGAUUCCUUUUUUUUUUCUUUUUUCUCUUGAUUUCUAAUUUCGUUCUUGUUCCGGCUCUAUCCAUUUCGAAACAGGAACCUCUGAAAGACAAACAUGCAACUGACCAACACAUGUUGAAGAAAAAAUAGGAAGAAUAAAUAAAGGAUACCGGAAAUUUUUUUU